rnacentral:rRNA from 1 species
GAUGAACGCUGGCGGCGUGCCUAAUACAUGCAAGUCGAGCGAACAGACGAGGAGCUUGCUCCUCUGACGUUAGCGGCGGACGGGUGAGUAACACGUGGAUAACCUACCUAUAAGACUGGGAUAACUUCGGGAAACCGGAGCUAAUACCGGAUAAUAUAUUGAACCGCAUGGUUCAAUAGUGAAAGACGGUUUUGCUGUCACUUAUAGAUGGAUCCGCGCCGCAUUAGCUAGUUGGUAAGGUAACGGCUUACCAAGGCAACGAUGCGUAGCCGACCUGAGAGGGUGAUCGGCCACACUGGAACUGAGACACGGUCCAGACUCCUACGGGAGGCAGCAGUAGGGAAUCUUCCGCAAUGGGCGAAAGCCUGACGGAGCAGCGCCGCGUGAGUGAUGAAGGUCUUCGGAUCGUAAAACUCUGUUAUUAGGGAAGAACAAAUGUGUAAGUAACUAUGCACGUCUUGACGGUACCUAAUCAGAAAGCCACGGCUAACUACGU